rnacentral:rRNA from 1 species
AGAGUUGAUCCUGGCUCAGGACAAACGCUAACGGUGCGCCUAAUACAUGCAAGUCGAACGAGCGAUGUAGAAGUGGCAACACUUUUACAAAGCAAGUGGCGAACGGGUGAGUAACGCGUAGGUAAUCUGCCUUGGAGAUUGGGACAACCAUUCGAAAGAAUGGCUAAUACCAAAUACCUUAUAUUAAUCGCAUGAUUUUUAUAAUAAAGGGGGCUUUUAGCUCUCGCUUCAAGAUGAACCUGCGUCCUAUUAGCUAGUUGGUGAGGUAGAAGCUCACCAAGGCAACGAUGGGUAGCCGGCCUGAGAGGGUGAUCGGCCACACUGGGACUGAGAUACGGCCCAGACUCCUACGGGAGGCAGCAGUAGGGAAUCUUGCGCAAUGGGCGAAAGCCUGACGCAGCGACACCGUGUGAAGGAUGAAGGUCUUCGGAUCGUAAACUUCUGUCAAUUGGGGACGAAGGUAGGUAGAGUUAAUACUUCGAAUACUGACGGUACCCAAUAAGGAAGUCUCGGCUAACUCCGUGCCAGCAGCCGCGGUAAGACGGAGGAGGCAAGCGUUGUCCGGAAUCAUUGGGCGUAAAGAGCGCGUAGGCUGUUUUUCAAGUCAUAUGUGAAAACCUCAGGCUUAACUUGAGGACUGCAUAUGAAACUGGAAAACUUGAGUGCAGUAGGGGAAAGUGGAAUUCCUGGUGUAGCGGUGAAAUGCGCAGAUAUCAGAAGAACACCGGUAGCGAAGGCGGCUUUCUGGGCUGCUACUGACGCUGAGGCGCGAAAGCUAGGGGAGCAAACAGGAUUAGAUACCCUGGUAGUCCUAGCUGUAAACGAUGGACACUAGGUGU